UUACUUUGGUCUCCAGAAUUCCACUCCCUUCUUGAUAAAGUAUUUGCCACCUUGUUCUCAACUCCUUUUCUGUAUAGUAUAUUAUAAACAAGACCCAACAACUUUGUCAACCCUUUCUUUUGAACAUUAGUAGUUAUUCUUUGCUCCAACAUAUGCUUAAUGAUCUCAUGAUCUGUCUUAAUAAUUAAGUGAGCAUUCUCCAAGUAAUACCUCCACUUACUAAUAAUAAAGAGUAUUGCUA
rnacentral:lncRNA from 1 species